rnacentral:rRNA from 1 species
UCGGGAAUUUUGGGCAAUGGGCGAAAGCCUGACCCAGCAACGCCGCGUGAGGGAUGAAGUAUUUCGGUAUGUAAACCUCGAAAGAAUGGGAAGAAUAAAUGACGGUACCAUUUAUAAGCUCCGGCUAACUACGUGCCAGCAGCCGCGGUAAUACGUAGGGAGCAAGCGUUGUUCGGAUUUACUGGGCGUAAAGGGCGCGUAGGCGGCAAUUCAAGUCAGCUGUGAAAUCUCUGGGCUUAACCCGGAACGGCCAGCUGAUACUGCUUUGCUAGAGUGCGGAAGGGGCAAUCGGAAUUCUUGGUGUAGCGGUAAAAUGCGUAGAUAUCAAGAGGAACACCUGAGGUGAAGACGGGUUGCUGGGCCGACACUGACGCUGAGGCGCGAAAGCCAGGGGAGCAAACG